rnacentral:ncRNA from 1 species
GCUGAAAUGCGGGUUGUAGUUGAUGAACGAGAAGCCCCGCGCCUGGUCGAUGCAAUGAAACAGCGGAUUCCAGUCGAACAUCGCGAUCAUCGAGCUUGGCAGCGUGUUCGCCACGAACAUCUUGCCCGAGGCGAACAUGUUUGCCCGCGUG